UACGGAGGUGGCAAGCGUUGUUCGGAAUUACUGGGUCGGUAAAGGGCGCGUUAGGCGGCAAGGCAAGUCAGGUGUGAAAGCCCCGAGCUUGAACUCGGGAAUUGCAUCUGAAACUGCUGUGCUUGAGUUCGUGGGAGGGGGUAGUGGAAUUCCCAGUGUAGCGGUGAAAUGCGUAGAUAUUCGGGAGGCAACACCUGCGGCGAAGG
rnacentral:rRNA from 1 species